rnacentral:rRNA from 1 species
UACGUAGGAUGCAAGCGUUGUCCGGAAUUAUUGGGCGUAAAGAGCUCGUAGGCGGUUCGUCGCGUCGGCUGUGAAAUCCCGAGGCUCAACCUCGGGUCUGCAGUCGAUACGGGCGGACUGGAGUUCGGCAGGGGAGACUGGAAUUCCUGGUGUAGCGGUGAAAUGCGCAGAUAUCAGGAGGAACACCGGUGGCGAAGGCGGGUCUCUGGGCCGAUACUGACGCUGAGGAGCGAAAGCGUGGGGAGCGAACAGG